UGGGCUGGGCUGAUGAUGACUGUGGUGAGGCCGCGGGAUCCGCGCCCGCUCUGUCGCCUGGUGCUGGCCGCUGUGGUGGUGCUUACCUGGGGCUUCGUUCUGUAUGGGGCACGAGUGGCCGCCCAGCGGCAGCUGCAGGGUAUGCUUAUGGCCCAGAGGAAGCCCUAGGCGAUGACGGAGCUCGCGGAACGCCACCGGGAGCCAUGCGCUGUCUCCGAGGAAACGGAGGAAUCCAGGUGGAGGCUGGAGGAGCCCUGUGGUCAGCUGGGCAAAUAAAGCGUAAAUAUUUCUUCAAAAGGAGAACGUAAAUAAAGCAUAAAUAGUUGUUGGGAAAAAAA